CAGGCCUAACACAUGCAAGUCGAACGGUAACAGGUCUUCGGAUGCUGACGAGUGGCGAACGGGUGAGUAAUACAUCGGAACGUGCCCGAUCGUGGGGGAUAACGAGGCGAAAGCUUUGCUAAUACCGCAUACGAUCUACGGAUGAAAGCGGGGGAUCUUCGGACCUCGCGCGGACGGAGCGGCCGAUGGCAGAUUAGGUAGUUGGUGGGAUAAAAGCUUACCAAGCCGACGAUCUGUAGCUGGUCUGAGAGGAUGAUCAGCCACACUGGGACUGAGACACGGCCCAGACUCCUACGGGAGGCAGCAGUGGGGAAUUUUGGACAAUGGGCGAAAGCCUGAUCCAGCCAUGCCGCGUGCAGGAUGAAGGCCUUCGGGUUGUAAACUGCUUUUGUACGGAACGAAAAGCCUCUUUCUAAUAAAGAGGGGUCAUGACGGUACCGUAAGAAUAAGCACCGGCUAACUACGUGCCAGCAGCCGCGGUAAUACGUAGGGUGCAAGCGUUAAUCGGAAUUACUGGGCGUAAAGCGUGCGCAGGCGGUUUUGUAAGACAGAGGUGAAAUCCCCGGGCUCAACCUGGGAACUGCCUUUGUGACUGCAAGGCUGGAGUGCGGCAGAGGGGGAUGGAAUUCCGCGUGUAGCAGUGAAAUGC
rnacentral:rRNA from 1 species